GACGAACGCUGGCGGCGUGCCUAAUACAUGCAAGUAGAACGCUGAAGCGAGGAGCUUGCUCUUCUUGGCUGAGUUGCGAACGGGUGAGUAACGCGUAGGUAACCUGCCUUGUAGCGGGGGAUAACUAUUGGAAACGAUAGCUAAUACCGCAUAACAAUGGAUGACACAUGUCAUUUAUUUGAAAGGGGCAAUUGCUCCACUACAAGAUGGACCUGCGUUGUAUUAGCUAGUAGGUGAGGUAACGGCUCACCUAGGCGACGAUACAUAGCCGGCCUGAGAGGGUGGUCGGCCACACUGGGACUGAGACACGGCCCAGACGCCUAAGGGAGGCAGCAGGAGGGAAUCUUCGGCAAUGGGGGCAAGCCUGAACGAGCAACGCCGCGUGAGGGAAGAAGGGUGUCGGAUCGGAAAGAGCGGUUGUAAGUCAAGAACGAGUGUGAGAGUGGAAAGUUCACACUGUGACGGUAGCUGACCAGAAAGGGACGGCUAACUACGUG
rnacentral:rRNA from 1 species